CACGGGGGCAACCCUGGUGGCGAGUGGCGAACGGGUGAGUAAUACAUCGGAACGUGCCCAGUAGUGGGGGAUAACCCGGCGAAAGCCGGACUAAUACCGCAUACGACCUACGGGUGAAAGCAGGGGAUCGCAAGACCUUGCGCUAUCGGAGCGGCCGAUGUCAGAUUAGCUUGUUGGCGGGGUAAAAGCCCACCAAGGCGACGAUCUGUAGCUGGUCUGAGAGGACGACCAGCCACACUGGGACUGAGACACGGCCCAGACUCCUACGGGAGGCAGCAGUGGGGAAUUUUGGACAAUGGGCGCAAGCCUGAUCCAGCCAUGCCGCGUGCGGGAAGAAGGCCUUCGGG
rnacentral:rRNA from 1 species